rnacentral:rRNA from 1 species
UUGAACGCUGGCGGCAUGCCUAACACAUGCAAGUCGAACGGCAGCGCGGGGGCAACCCUGGCGGCGAGUGGCGGACGGGUGAGGAAUGCAUCGGAAUCUGCCCUGUUGUGGGGGAUAACCAACCGAAAGGUUGGCUAAUACCGCAUGAGACGGCGACGUGAAAGCGGGGGAUCUUUGGACCUCGCGCGACAGGAUGAGCCGAUGCCGGAUUAGCUAGUUGGUGGGGUAAAGGCCCACCAAGGCGACGAUCCGUAGCUGGUCUGAGAGGAUGAUCAGCCACACUGGAACUGAGACACGGUCCAGACUCCUACGGGAGGCAGCAGUGGGGAAUAUUGGACAAUGGGCGCAAGCCUGAUCCAGCCAUGCCGCGUGAGUGAAGAAGGCCUUCGGGUUGUAAAGCUCUUUUGUCCGGAAAGAAAAGCAUCCAGUUAAUACCUGGGUGUCCUGACGGUACCGGAAGAAUAAGCACCGGCUAACUUCGU